CCUACGGGGGGCAGCAGUCGAGAAUCAUUCACAAUGGGGGAAACCCUGAUGGUGCGACGCCGCGUGGGGGAAUGAAGGUCUUCGGAUUGUAAACCCCUGUCAUGUGGGAGCAAAUUAAAAAGAUAGUACCACAAGAGGAAGAGACGGCUAACUCUGUGCCAGCAGCCGCGGUAAUACAGAGGUCUCAAGCGUUGUUCGGAAUCACUGGGCGUAAAGCGUGCGUAGGCUGUUUCGUAAGUCGUGUGUGAAAGGUGCGGGCUCAACCCGCGGACGGCACAUGAUACUGCGAGACUAGAGUAAUGGAGGGGGAACCGGAAUUCUCGGUGUAGCAGUGAAUUGCGUAGAUAUCGAGAGGAACACUCGUGGCGAAGGCGGGUUCCUGGACAUUAACUGACGCUGAGGCACGAAGGCCAGGGGAGCGAAAGGGAUUAGAUACCCGUGUAGUC
rnacentral:rRNA from 1 species